rnacentral:rRNA from 1 species
UACGUAGGUGGCAAGCGUUGUCCGGAUUUACUGGGCGUAAAGGAUGCGUAGGCGGAUAUUUAAGUCAGAUGUGAAAUACCCGAGCUUAACUUGGGUGCUGCAUUUGAAACUGGAUAUCUAGGGUGUGGGAGAGGAAAGUGGAAUUCCUAGUGUAGCGGUGAAAUGCGUAGAGAUUAGGAAGAACACCAGUGGCGAAGGCGACUUUCUGGACCAUAACUGACGCUGAGGCAUGAAAGCGUGGGGAGCAAACAGG